rnacentral:rRNA from 1 species
UACAGAGGGCCCGAGCGUUGUUCGGAUUCAUUGGGCGUAAAGGGUGCGUAGGCGGCUGGGCAAGUCUGAUGUGAAAGCCCGGGGCUCAACCCCGGAACUGCAUUGGAUACUGCCUUGCUCGAGUACUGGAGAGGGAACUGGAAUUUACGGUGUAGCAGUGAAAUGCGUAGAUAUCGUAAGGAAGACCAGUAGCGAAGGCGGGUCUCUGGACAGUUCCUGACGCUGAGGCACGAAGGCCAGGGGAGCAAACGGG